rnacentral:misc_RNA from 1 species
GAUGAAGAACGUAGCGAAAUGCGAUAAGUAAUGUGAAUUGCAGAAUUCAGUGAAUCAUCGAAUCUUUGAACGCACAUUGCGCCCACUAGUAUUCUAGUGGGCAUGCCUGUUCGAGCGUCAUUUCAACCCUUAAGCCUAGCUUAGUAUUGGGAAUCGACUUUACUGUCGUUCCUCAAAUUCAACGGCGGAUUUAUAGCAAUCUCUGAACGUAGUAAUUUUUUUCCUCGUUUUUGAAAUACUAUAAACCUCAGCCGCUAAACCCCCAAUUUUUUUAUGGUUGACCUCGGAUCAGGUAGGAAUACCCGCUGAACUUAAGCAUAUCAAUAAGCGGAGGA